CGGAUGCACACUCAAACCUUCAAGCUGCCGCAAUUAACAGGACAGCUUUUAAUUGGCAAUUACAAUUCCAUUAAGCUGGGUCUGGCAGAUCAUUUGCUCUGUCAGGAAAGCCCUCAGGCAGGGAAGAUUAGUGGCUGGCAGGAUCCGGGCUCCCGCGCUGGAGCUGUGGAGGAAAAGACAGCCAGAAGACCAGUUCUCAUCUCCGAUCAACAGAAAAGUGCAGAUACUAUUGCUCCCCCAGCAGAAUUUCAUGCAGACACAUCGGUGCUCUCCCUGACUUGGAAGAAACCUCCCAAGAACUACAAAGUGCCCUCUUUCCUCUCUUUCCAGUCCCAGAAUAAAAUUCUCAUUUGAUCUGUGCUCUGGGAUGAAGUCAUAUGCCUGCAAGCAGGUUAUUUAACAGGGAACUGAAGAGAAGCUGUCUGGUAUGUGGUAUGCCCUUCAUUCUUCUAAUUAUCUGUAAAAGCCAAAUUUUACCUUUUGUACUCCAGAAGCAGGGACGUGUCCAUAGGAACUUGUUAGGUCCCAGCUGAGACUGCUUGCCUUCUACCUGGGCCCAGGGGUGGGGAGGUGGAACAGCAGAGUUAGCCUUUUCUGAUGUUAGGUGCCCAUCAGUCCAUUAACACAUCACUGGUUUGGGUCCUCGGUGGGCUGUAGAACAGAUGCCUCCUUGGGUCACACCAUAUUUCACUGCCUAUCCCAGGAGUUCAGAAAACUGUCUUAUACAUAGGCAUUUAUACAUAGGAACCCUUAAAAUUAGGAAAGGCUCACCCCACCCUUUGUCCACACACAAGGAGAAGGGAUUUUGUCCAGCAGAAGAAACCACUCUUUGAGCUGGAUCACGUAGCUUGUUCUCUGAAAGCCUCGACUCAAACCUCCCUCUAGUGCAUCCUCUCUUGUCUUCCCCUGCAGCAUGGGGAAUUGUUAUGAACUGUGCUGGGAGCUAAUGCUGGCCUC
rnacentral:lncRNA from 1 species